rnacentral:rRNA from 1 species
GCCCAGACUCCUACGGGAGGCAGCAGUGGGGGAUAUUGGACAAUGGGGGGAACCCUGAUCCAGCGACGCCGCGUGAGCGAUGAAGUAUUUCGGUAUGUAAAGCUCUAUCAGCAGGGAAGAAAAUGACGGUACCUGACUAAGAAGCCCCGGCUAACUACGUGCCAGCAGCCGCGGUAAUACGUAGGGGGCAAGCGUUAUCCGGAUUUACUGGGUGUAAAGGGAGCGUAGACGGCUGUGCAAGCCAGAUGUGAAAGCCCGGGGCUCAACCCCGGGACUGCAUUUGGAACUGUGUGGCUGGAGUGUCGGAGAGGCAGGCGGAAUUCCUAGUGUAGCGGUGAAAUGCGUAGAUAUUAGGAGGAACACCAGUGGCGAAGGCGGCCUGCUGGACGAUGACUGACGUUGAGGCUCGAAAGCGUGGGGAGCAAACAGGAUUAGAUACCCGAGUA